AUUUCCAUCUCUGCCUCAUCUUUUAUAAAUAUCAAGGAAUGCCCCAACAUUGUCCCCAUCCCACUCCCAACUCCAACCCACUCAAAUCAAGAGAGGAGUUCAAAACCUCAACCUUGAAAAGCUUCUGGAAUCCAAUAGGCUGUGCCUCGCUUGCCUCAUCACAUCCAUUCCCACAGCACAGGCAAGUCAGUUAUUUGUCAAGAAGCCAGCUUACCUGUUGACGAGACCUCGUAUGCUCCAUUGGAUUAUUCUAGGGGUCCAUUUGAAGGGAAAGAUCCAGAAACAUCUUCAUCAAUACUUGCAGAGGCUAGGAGCAGUAUCAUCCUAAUUCCUGACUAUGGGGGCAGGAAAUUCCAGGCCACAAAGGUCGCUAACAUUUUUACCUGAUUUGCCCCCGGAUUUAAAGGUCAUACUCAGAGGCAGGCCCCGGCGUAAACAUGGAGUCGUGAAUUCCACGAGGUUCCAGUCUUCGAGGAGCACAUCAUACCUGCUAGAACGCACAGCCAAGGAGAUUGGUAAUGAUGUGGCACCGGCUGUGCUGAUGGAGUCAGAGAGGGAAGGUCUAAUCCGGACAGUUUCCACUGUCCCUCUGGGUCUGAGCAGCACCUUCCCCAGCUUUUAUGAAUACAGCUGUUUUCAUAACCAUUGCG